rnacentral:rRNA from 1 species
AUUGAACGCUGGCGGCAGGCCUAACACAUGCAAGUCGAGCGGAUGAGUGGAGCUUGCUCCAUGAUUCAGCGGCGGACGGGUGAGUAAUGCCUAGGAAUCUGCCUGGUAGUGGGGGACAACGUUUCGAAAGGAACGCUAAUACCGCAUACGUCCUACGGGAGAAAGCAGGGGACCUUCGGGCCUUGCGCUAUCAGAUGAGCCUAGGUCGGAUUAGCUAGUAGGUGAGGUAAUGGCUCACCUAGGCGACGAUCCGUAACUGGUCUGAGAGGAUGAUCAGUCACACUGGAACUGAGACACGAGCCAGACUCCUACGGGAGGCAGCAGUGGGGAAUAUUGGACAAUGGGCGAAAGCCUGAUCCAGCCAUGCCGCGUGUGUGAAGAAGGUCUUCGGAUUGUAAAGCACUUUAAGUUGGGAGGAAGGGCAGUAAGUUAAUACCUUGCUGUUUUGACGUUACCAACAGAAUAAGCACCGGCUAACUUCGUGCCAGCCGCCGCGGUAAAAC